ACAUGGGUUCAUUAUUUGCACAGGGAUAGCAUUCUUGGCGUGGCUACCACGUUCAGGAACCAAAGGAGGAAAUGAUUAACAAAGUAAUGAUUGUAUCUACAGAAUCACGCUGCAUAUUUAAUCGAAUUGAUCCAAACCAUUACAACACAUUGUCACUGGGCCAAUUGAUGUUCUUAAAAUUGAGAAGAUGGGAUGACUAAAAAUGACUUCUGACAGAGUUUGAUUGGAAAUUGAUUGAACAGCAUCAAGAACACAAAUGCAGCUUCUUGACUCUUGUGCCAGCUAGAUAGCACAAGUCUUCAUCUUUUCUUUUCUUUCCUGCUUUUCCCUGAUGCAGUUUUAAUCAAAUUCCUUGUCCUAAAGUCCAUGUUCAUUGAAUAGCAAGAUUUGUAUGCGUGAGUUGGAACUGCUUUCACAAAUCCAUAGCACAAUUAUCCAUGCGUUU